AUGUCAGUCUUAGUAAAUGGCAGCCCAUCAAGAGACUUUGAUGUGGCACGAGGGCUUAGACAGUGUGAUCCUCUGUCACCCUUUCUAUUCACAUUGGUGACUGAAGGAUUAACAGGAAUGAUGCAAAAGGCUACACAAAAUGGAGCUUUUGAUGGAUUUAAAGUGAGUGGGGCAGUGGAACACCAAAUUCUACAAUUUGCAGAUGAUACAAUAACAAUGGAGAAAGGAAGUUGGAGCAUUUGUGGAGCAUAA
rnacentral:lncRNA from 1 species